rnacentral:lncRNA from 1 species
GCCAGAAAUUUGAAGUGAGCGAGCCUAGCACUGGUGGGUUUUGACAUUACUAAGUUGAUAAGUUUGCUCUAGAAACAACAUACAAAUUUCCUUAGCAAUAUAAAGCUAUAUGUAUAUAUAUGUAUUAUAAUACAGAUUAUAUAUAUAUAUAUGUGUAUAUGUAUAUAUAUAUAUAUAUAUAUAUAUAUACACACACACACACACACACAAACAUACUGUCUUUUCCAGAGUAUUUCAAAAUGGGACUGGAGAGAUGGUACACACACACACACACACACACACACUCAUAAAUAAAAAAGUGUUUAAGUGCAAACAAUUCAUAGAAGUCUGAAAAUUCUGUGAGUAUUCACAGGACCCGCAGUGGGGCAAAGGUCAGUUUUAGCAGGAUAGAAGUCAACAGCCAUGACGGAAAGAAUUGACAUCUAACUGUAUAAAAGUGUAAAAUUCCUAUAGAUCAAAGAUGCUGUGGAGAGCCUGGAUCAUGGCUCAGGUUUUAGAGGGCACGUCUAGCAUGCAUGAAGCCAGGGUUUGGUCCCCAGCACUGCAUCAACAGGGGAUGGUAGCUUGUGCCUAUAAGCCCAGCACUGGGAAGAGAGAAACAGGAAGGUCUGUAGUUCAGGAUCCUCCACUUCACAGUGAGCGUCACAGCCUGGGACAGAUGAGCUGGAGAGACUGAACUCCCCUAUAAACCCUCAGUGAUGUGCUUCCCACAGGUAGGCGGGAUUACAGGUGGGGGGGGGUGGACAGCUCUUCCCUCACUCCCAUGUCCCAGUGCAAUCAUCAAUUAUCAUUCACAGCAAGGGAAGGGUGGCUCAGAAGGCAGAGCCCAGAGAACCAAACUGUGAUGACCUCUGCUCCCGCCAUUAUACAAUCCCCUCCCACACCAAACAGGGCUGAUGUGGGUACCAACAGAGCUAGCUGCAGCAAUGACAGGGUCAUGAAUAAGUCAAGAGAGUGUGGUAGCUUCCAGCAUCACACCCUUAAAUUACCCCAUUGGGCAGCCAAGUAGGCAUUGCAUCCCAGGUUUGAAGACUCUGGAAAGCUGCGAUGGUUGCUCUCCGUAGGGAACUGUCGGAGGUGGACUUGGAAAUGUGGACUGUCUGGUUUCAUGGCAGACUGGGAACGAAGCUCAGUCAGUGCUUGCCUGUGUAUGAAGCCUUGAGUUGGAUCCCUAGCAGGACAUAAACCAGGUAAGGCAGCGUAAGUCCCAGCACUCAG